rnacentral:rRNA from 1 species
AGUUUGAUCCUGGCUUAGGAUGAACGCUGGCGGCGUGCUUAACACAUGCAAGUCGAACGGAGUUUUUAAACGGAAGUUUUCGGAUGGAAGUUUAGAAACUUAGUGGCGGACGGGUGAGUAACGCGUGGGUAACCUGCCUCAUACAGGGGGAUAACAGUUAGAAAUGACUGCUAACACCGCAUAAUAUAGCGAAACCGCAUGAUUUUUGCUAUCAAAUAUUUAUAGGUAUGAGAUGGGCCCGCGUCUGAUUAGCUAGUUGGUGGGGUAAAAGCCUACCAAGGCGACGAUCAGUAGCCGGCUUGAGAGAAUGACCGGCCACAUUGGGACUGAGACACGGCCCAAACUCCUACGGGAGGCAGCAGUGGGGAAUAUUGGACAAUGGGGGAAACCCUGAUCCAGCGACGCCCGCGUGAGUGAAGAAGUAUUUCGGUAUGUAAAGCUCUAUCAGCAGGGAAGAUAAUGACAGUACCUGACUAAGAAGCCCCGGCUAACUACGUGCCAGCAGCAGC